GGAGAGAUGGCUCAGAGGUUUAGAGCACUGGCUGUGUUUCCAGAGAACCUGGGUUCAAUUCCCAGCACCC
rfam:Cricetulus griseus cell line CHO-K1, whole genome shotgun sequence.